rnacentral:tRNA from 1 species
GGGCCGUUAGCUCAGUCGGUAGAGCAUCUGGCUUUUAACCAGAGGGUCGCAGGUUCGAUCCCUGCACGGCUCACCA